UACGUAGGCAGCGAGCGUUGUUCGGAGUUACUGGGCGUAAAGGGCGCGUAGGCGGCCGCCUAAGUCAGACGUGAAAUCCCCAGGCUCAACCUGGGAACUGCGUCCGAUACUGGAUGGCUUGAAUCCGGGAGAGGGAUGCAGAAUUCCAGGUGUAGCGGUGAAAUGCGUAGAUAUCUGGAGGAAUACCGGUGGCGAAGGCGGCAUCCUGGACCGGCAUUGACGCUGAGGAGCGAAAGCCAGGGGAGCAAACGGG
rnacentral:rRNA from 1 species